rnacentral:rRNA from 1 species
UACGGAGGUCCCUAGCGUUGUUCGGAAUUACUGGGCGUAAAGGGCGUCUAGGCGGGAUGGCAAGUCGGGUAUGAAAUGCUCUGGCUCAACCAGAGAAUUGUGCCCGAAACUGCCGUCCUUGAGUAUAGCAGAGGACAGUGGAACUCUUGGUGGAGCGGUGAAAUGCGUAGAUAUCAAGAGGAACGCCGGAGGCGAAAGCGAUUGUCUGGGCUAUUACUGACGCUGAAGCGCGAAAGCUAGGGGAG